AGGGGUGCAGCUCAGUGGUAGAGCGCUUGCCUGCAUACAUGAGGCCUGGGUUCUACUCCCAGCACCUUAA
rnacentral:tRNA from 1 species